UUGCCAUACACAAUUUUUUUAAGUGAUUUGCAAUUGAAUUGCAUACAUUCUAAUUGAUAAACUGGAUAUAUCAAUCCUUUAUUUUAUAGUUUCCAGAUAUUAUACCACACUCAUAAAUACUUUCCCAUAUUCCAAUUAUUUAUUUUAGUAUUUUAUAAUUUUUCAAAAAUUUAAAUCUUGUAUAUAUCUGCAAUCUAUUUUGGAGUGAGCCGCAACUUUUGAAGAAAUCCAAAUUUAUGUUUUUCUAGAUAACUACUCAUUAUGGCAAAUCCUUCUUUUCUUCACCAAUAUGAAAUGUCACUUUCACCAUUUAUGACAAUUGCUGUGUGAUUAUUCAGUCAGGUUUCAUGUUUCAUGCUCUAAUAUUCUAUUCAUGUAUUUGACAAACUUUCCUGAGUACUUACUAUGCUCCAGGCACUGUUCUUCUGUUUCAGGUACUAGAGAUACAGCAAUAUAAAAAUACUUUUUUGAAAAAAAAAUAAGUAAGAAGAACAAGGAGGAGGAAGGGAGAGAGAAAAGGUCUGCAGACUAAGAGGAGCCAUGCCCAGACAUGAUAAAAAGAUUAUGGAGCACCACUCACAGAUCCUGGACUCAACAAUGGAUGCAGUCACUGGAUGGAACUUUUGGCCAUUAAUUGAGUGCCUACCAUAUAGACACUGGGACCACAAUGAAGAAGAUAACCACUGAUCCUGUGGAACUUUUAGCUAAUGGAAAUCAAUUCCUGAGUAUCCAUGUAAUAUUGGAUGCUCAGCAUUAUUUAUCGGGACUCAUUAAUUGAUAUUUCAUAGGAAUUUAAGAAUGUUUUCUCAAGGAAAAGCUCAUUAUUCUGAUUGAAUUCAAGAAAAUAUUUCUUACUGAGUUUAGUGAUAUAAAACCACAUGAAACUAACAGUAUCUGAUUAAGACCAAUAGCCAAGUUCAUUUUUAAUGUCUUUAUCCUACAAAUCAACAAAACUUGUCAGUGAAAAGAGGAAUAUUGAUCAAUCACUUGAAUGUUUCAUUAAAUCCAAAUCUUUUGUAUAACAGUGAAAAAGUAUUUAAUGUUUGGAUGGUUUAAUUUAUCUUCAUCUGUAUGGGCUUUUUCUGUUAUUUGGGCCACUAAUGUGUUUUAGUUUAGUUUUUUGGUUUUGGGUGUUUUCUGUCUUUUUUUUUUUUUUUUUUUUUUUUGGUAAAGUCAUUGUGUUCUCUCUUGGUCUUCUGCUUUCAACUAUCAGGUUGCCAAUUCAAUUACUCACAAAUCUCUCUGAAAAAUAUUUUGAAA
rnacentral:lncRNA from 1 species